GUGUAAUCUAUCUUUGAAUUCAAUUAAAAACAAGUUCACAUUUUUUUAAACCCUAAUGUAGCCGCAUAUUUUAAAGCGUUGUCAUCCGUAUCAAUAAAUUGUUUAUCAAAAUUGAAGUGCAUGAGUAUUAUUAACGUCUGGGAUGAGUGUGAGAAUUCUCUGUUGAUGGGAAUAAACAAAAUUUAGCUGAAUUUGUAUUAUUCAAAUUAAUGAAAAGGCAAGCUAGUGUGUGUUUAAAAUUAUAUUGUUAUACCCCCGCUUUAAAAAAGGGGGGGUAUACUGUUUUACCUCUGUCUGUCAGUCCGUCCGUCCGUCCAUCAGUCCGUCCGUCAGUCAGUCCGUCCCAUGAAACUUUCGUCACAUUUUUCUCAGGAACUACACAUCCACCCUUUCUGUAAUUUGGUAUCAACAUUUAUAUAUGUCAGCCAUACCGUGUGAUGCGUUUUCAGAUUCAUCACUCGACAACUUCCUGUUUACCAAACACUUGUCUGAUUUUACACAUGAUAGCCAAGUUGAAAAUUUUCGUCACAUUUUUCUCAGGAACUACAAUACAAGGAUUUCUGAAAUUUGGUUUCAGGAUUUAUAUAAGUCAGC
rnacentral:lncRNA from 1 species